rnacentral:lncRNA from 1 species
GGAAUGUCUUGAUACACAUUUCAUACACUUCGGCAAUUUUGGAUGCUUCUACAUAUUUAGCGUAUUUAGGUGCAUUUUGGCUUAUAUUGGUACAUUUGCUCGAUUUUGUACAUAUUGGAGUACUUUUGAUGAGAAUCAUGGAAGGUAAGCUAGGAAGAAACCAUUGAAUGUUCUGAAGGGUUGAUAACUAGAUCAAGAGCAAAGAAGAUCAAGGAAGCUAUAAAAGGACUUGUUCAACUAUGUGGACCGAGGUUCAAGUGCAACAAAUAAGACACCAAGUUUCAAGAAUGAGCAUGAAAAAAGGUGGAAGAAGUUGAGCCGAAAACCUAGCUCUGUAGAUCUUCAUGAGUAUGUUUCAAACACUAAUGAGCCUCUGUAUCCUGAUGACAACUCAGGAUUGAGUUGUUUUUGAUGUGGAAGGGCAUGCGGAUCAAUUAGAUGAGAAGAUCAUAAACCAACCAGAAAGCAAAGGAAUAAGAAGGAUAUAUGAAAACUGAGCAUAACUUUCAAGUUUGUUGUCCGAUUUUUGUCUGUAAGUAUAAUCUAGAAGUGUUUUUGAUUUUGCACAUUUUUUUCAGAUGAUGUUGUCAGACUUUUAGGGUUAAAUUUCAUUAUUCAGGAUUCUAUUUUAGUUCCCUUUUUUGAGUUAGUUUAAAGGUAUAUUCAUUAUUG